UACGUAGGGUGCAAGCGUUGUCCGGAAUUAUUGGGCGUAAAGCGCUCGUAGGCGGUUUGUCGCGUCUGCUGUGAAAACCCGAGGCUCAACCUCGGGCCUGCAGUGGGUACGGGCAGACUAGAGUGCGGUAGGGGAGAUUGGAAUUCCUGGUGUAGCGGUGGGAUGCGCAGAUAUCAGGAGGAACACCGAUGGCGAAGGCAGGUCUCUGGGCAUUAACUGACGCUGAGGAGCGAAAGCAUGGGGAGCGAAC
rnacentral:rRNA from 1 species